GAUGAACGCUGGCGGCGUGCCUAAUACAUGCAAGUCGAGCGAACAGACGAGGAGCUUGCUCCUCUGACGUUAGCGGCGGACGGGUGAGUAACACGUGGAUAACCUACCUAUAAGACUGGGAUGACUUCGGGAAACCGGAGCUAAUACCGGAUAAUAUAUUGAACCGCAUGGUUCAAUAGUGAAAGACGGUUUUGCUGUCACUUAUAGAUGGAUCCGCGCCGCAUUAGCUAGUUGGUAAGGUAACGGCUUACCAAGGCAACGAUGCGUAGCCGACCUGAGAGGGUGAUCGGCCACACUGGAACUGAGACACGGUCCAGACUCCUACGGGAGGCAGCAGUAGGGAAUCUUCCGCAAUGGGCGAAAGCCUGACGGAGCAACGCCGCGUGAAUGAUGAAGGUCUUCGGAUCGUAAAACUCUGUUAUUAGGGAAGAACAAAUGUGUAAGUAACUAUGCACGUCUUGACGGUACCUAAUCAGAAAGCCACGGCUAACUACGUG
rnacentral:rRNA from 1 species